UAAUGAACUUAAAAACACCAAAUGUAAUAUCGUAGUUCAGAAUCUGUCACAAAUUAUAUUUUUCCAUUUAAUUAAUGUAACGUUGUUAACAAAGUUGGGGUUAUUUCAUAAUUUAACCUCAAUAAUGACUCUUGGAUGCUUAAUCGAGCUGCAGCCCCAUUUUGAUGCCAUUACUUGUUCGAACCCUAAUUUUAGAGCCGAAACAACUCAGGAGUCAGGAGAGCGGUUGGAUUGCAUGGCAGGAUAAAGGAGUAACCGUGAAAGAGUAUUGGGUGGAAAAGCUAAAGCCAGGUGAAGAAGAUAAGGCGCUUUCAACAAUGAUUACAGAGUUUUUUAGUAAGCCUAAUGGAGAAAAGACAGAGGAAGUGCCUAAUGGCGGAGGAGGACGUAACAUUUCUCAGAUAGUUUCUGAUGCUGUUCAUAAACGCGAGCCAGAAGAAAGCGAAAAACAUAAGCCAAUGACUUUGGCAGACAAGGUGGUUGAGCUCAGAACACUCUGGGGACAACUUUAGGAGCCAGGAAGAGGCUUUUCCAGAUGAUGAUAAAUGAGCUAUCAACUGUAUUUGAAGUUGUAACAGGCUGUGAUAAACAGUCAAAGGACUCUGCUCGAAGUAAUGGAAAUAAAAGCAAAUCUAAUGGAACAAGGUGAUAUAUAUCUUGAAACUCUGGACUUAUAGUUACACUUGUUAUGAUUUUGUUAACAAUUAAACAAGUUAUCUUCAAACUCUAAACAAGUUAACAAUUAGAACGUCUGCUGACAAAGUUUCAGAUGUUUUGUUUUUUUAGAUUAUUGCAAGAACUGCUGGCACUCUGUGAUGAUACUAUGAAGGUUUAGUUAAUCUAUUAAUGGAACAAUGCCUUGAUUACAGAA